rnacentral:miRNA from 1 species
ACAGGGAGACAUCUAGGACAAG